rnacentral:rRNA from 1 species
GGGUUGUAAACUUCUUUUAUAAAGGAAUAAAGUCGGGUAUGCAUACCCGUUUGCAUGUACUUUAUGAAUAAGGAUCGGCUAACUCCGUGCCAGCAGCCGCGGUAAUACGGAGGAUCCGAGCGUUAUCCGGAUUUAUUGGGUUUAAAGGGAGCGUAGAUGGAUGUUUAAGUCAGUUGUGAAAGUUUGCGGCUCAACCGUAAAAUUGCAGUUGAUACUGGAUGUCUUGAGUGCAGUUGAGGCAGGCGGAAUUCGUGGUGUAGCGGUGAAAUGCUUAGAUAUCACGAAGAACUCCGAUUGCGAAGGCAGCCUGCUAAGCUGCAACUGACAUUGAGGCUCGAAAGUGUGGGUAUCAAACAGGAUUAGAUACCCUGGUAGUCCACACGGUAAA